UACGUAGGGUGCAAGCGUUGUCCGGAAUUAUUGGGCGUAAAGAGCUCGUAGGCGGUCUGUCGCGUCUGCUGUGAAAACUCGGGGCUUAAUCCCGGGCCUGCAGUGGGUACGGGCAGACUAGAGUGCGGUAGGGGAGACUGGAAUUCCUGGUGUAGCGGUGAAAUGCGCAGAUAUCAGGAGGAACACCAGUGGCGAAGGCGAUCAUCUGGGGCUGUUCUGACGCUGAGGAGCGAAAGCUAGGGGAGCAAACGGG
rnacentral:rRNA from 1 species